rnacentral:tRNA from 1 species
AUAAUUAAUCGAUUUAUAGCAGUCGGCUGUUAACCGAUUGGUCGUAGGUUCGAAUCCUACU